AAUCCCACGUUGCUGUGGCUGUGGCAUUGGCCAGUGGCUACAGCUCCGAUUCGACCCCUAGCCUGGGAACCUCCGUAUGCCGUGGGAGCAGCCCUAGAAAAGGCAAAAAGACACACACAAAAAAAAUAAAUAAAUAAAAGGGAAAUACUUAGUUCUAUACAGAGAUUCCAGUAUACUUGGUAUCUUUAAGAAGAAUCACUAAUUUCCGAGGAAACUGAAAAAAAAAUUUUGUUUUUAAAUUAAGGUCUUCUAAAUAACUGUGAGCCUCUAACUUCCUUUUUAUGGAAGAUUUUUUUUUUUUUUUUUUGCUGUAAAACAUGUGUAAGUUUAUUUUUUAAUUUAUUUUUAUUUUUUUUAAUUCUUACUUCCCCAAUACAAUUUUUUUUUUCUCUACUGUACAGCAUGGUGACCCGGUUACACAUACAUGUACACAUUCUUUUUUCUCAUAUUAUCAUGCUCCAUCAUAAGUGGCUAGACAUAAUUCUCACUGCUACUUUAUAUCAUAACAUCAUUCUCAUUUUCUCCAAUAACUUACAUGUUACUCAAAUAACCGUUACUGAGUACUUAACUUUGUAUGAAAAAAUGUGCAAGGUAUUUUCAAGGAUAUAGUUCCUCCCCUAGGAAGGCCCUGCAAGUUAGUUGGCAGGGAUAGAUGAUCCUCUUACAGGGUGAUGGCCUGAAAAAUUAGGAACAAUAGAAUUAGGAAGAGUAUUACAAUCUAUGAAAGUGAUUAUUAUCUGCUUAUCAUGUAAACUAUGUUAUUGUGCUUCAGAACAGUAUUAUACUUUUUGAAGAUGGGAAUGGCUUGAGAAAAAGUUCAGGAGGAGAGGCUAAUGAGCCAGGUUGUGGAGAAAAAAAAAGGGUAGUGUGCCUUUAGUUGGAGUAGGGGCUGUGGACAUGGGCAAUAAAAAAUGAAGUUGGAAAUCUACUUGGACCAUUUUCUGAACUGUUACAAACACAUGAAGAAUUUUUUACAUUAUUUACUAUGUAAAGCUACUACAUUUUAAUAUAGCUUCAUUUUAUUAUUUUUCUUUUUUUACAACUAGAAAUUACUUAAGUCCAUCAUACUAACUUCGUUUAUGCCUAUAUGUCACAUAUUAGAAGGUAUUGAAAAAAAUUAAAUGAUAAACUUGACAUGUUACCAGUUGCCUUAUAUAACAAUGUUUAGCUGAAAUUUUUCAGUUUUUCUUUAAUAUAUACCAAUAUAGAAAUAGCUUGUGAGUAAUUAUUUGGUUUGAAAACAGUAAGUACAUUUAUUAUAUUUUAUAUUUUCUUAUUUUUCAUUUCUUAGCAUCUUUUAGGUGUUUUAAAAAUUCUCUCUCCAUGUUGCAAUUUGAACGUUUUACUAACUUUUACAUUUUCUGCUCAGAAAAAGAAAACAGGCUUUAGAAAUAUCAUCAUGAGAAAAAAAAAAUCCAGAAAAGUUUUAUAAGACAUGAGAAGUAGUAACAGCAAGUGUAAUUGCAAAUAUUUUUGCACUUUAUUAUCCAAUAACCAGUUUAUUUCCUAGCACAUAGUAGGUACUCAAUAAAAUGGUUUUUUGAACAAAUAAGAGACCAAAGUUGUAAGUCUAUUCUAUAAAAAAAAUCUCGAUAGCAUGAUUCCCAGAAAUAGUCUAUUUGCUAACCUUAGGCUACUUUUCAGUAAGCCAUUUUGGAAAUAGAUAUAUUGCUAGUGGAGAUUCAUUAGCAGUAUAUAUAACUCAGGGCAAAGUAAAGUUUAUUAAGUAACAUCAACUUAGAACUAUAGGCCCAGUUUUAUAAUUUUUUUGCAACAAUAAUAUGUCACAAAUUUAAAAUAGACUGUAAAGAUGGGAAGGAUCUUGGAGACCAUCUGAUCCCACUCUGCUGUUAUCAUUGCAGAAACUGAAGCUUAUAGUGAUUGACUGAUUGGCCAUUAUUAAUGUUCAUGAACAGAAGCCACAAUUCCUGACUUCCAGUUCAAUGUCCUCUUUUCCCUUAUAUCUUUCUGCUUUCCUAUUGCCAAGCUUUGAAUAUAAAUGAUAUAAAGUCCUCAUUUACACAUUUAACAACUGUUCUCUAAAACUGUUAUGAAACUAUUGAAUUUCCGUUGGACCCUGCUGUUAAUGAACAAAGCAUAUUGACUGAUAUUCUUUUGGCUACAUUUUGUUACAUUUAAAAACUGAAACUAUGAGGGUAGGCUUAGCAUAAAUGCCAGAAAGUUGAGGAACUGUAGUCUCUUUCCCCCAUCCAGCAAAACCGUGGGUAAGAAUAUUAUCUUCAUGCUGGUAUAGGAAAUAAAGAGUUGGCUAAAAUAUGUGAUAUUUUUCAAGCCCUUAAUCAAAGCGCCUCACAUCACAUAAUUUGUUUUUAUUCCUCCUACUGUCUUAUGUGCUUUUCUAGUAAGGAAUUACCCUAAAUACUGAAUUCCCUACUUUCGAUUCUGGGGACUCAUUCACACUUGCUCUUAUGUAAUAUACAUCCCUUUAAAACUGUUAAUGGCUCUUCACAAAGGGGCUCAUAUUUGAGCUGAUCUUUAAAGCAUGAGGGAAUGAAUAAAUAAAUAGUGAUCAUCAUUGCCUUUAUAGAGGAAGGGCACAUUUAUUUCAUGGUAUGUUUUCAUGAUUUCAGGGGAAGGGAGACUCUUACUGUUAAACAAACCAAGUUUCCUGGCUGCAAAGGUUAAACAUUCAUUCUUUGCCAAGCUAUUAAACUGAUAAUUUUUUAAGUGUUUCUGCAUCAUGGUAUAGCCCUGCCUUCAUAUGAUGUCCAACCUAAAUUAACAUGACUGGAACAGAUGUUAAAUGACUGUACCCAAGUCACUUGUGUCCAAUUUUACACUUCACUUCAUGAACUGUGCUAGACCAAGAGAACAUGGCUCUCCUGCUCCAAGUCACACCAUAUGUCUUCACAUUCAUUAGAUAUAGGAUUGUGAUCAAUUUACUACCCACUGAUCUCACUGUUGCUUCUUAAAAUUUAAAUGGAAAGGAAUGUACAUAGCAAUAAAACUUUGUUAUAAGAAUAUGUGUUUUUAUAUUUAAGUUUUUAAUAGAAUUAAUUUUUUAUUGGUAUCAGUCAGGGAAUAGGCAGUACUUUUUGCUGGCUGAAGUAUAAAACUGCAGGAAAUUUGUCAGUUGGUUUUGUGCAAUGAGCUGAAUUUUAAGAUGUUUUUAUUUAGAAAGUUUAUGAUAUUCAGACAGGGUGAAAGUCACUUUUUUAUUAUAAAUAAAGGUGUUAUUUUGAAAGUAUAACAUGAGAGACUACUAGAGUAACAGGAGGAACUGCAUUAAAAUUAAAAGGAGACUUACUGCAAGCUACUCUCUGAAUGUUGAUGGGUUGGGAGGCAGUCUUCCGUGGCUCUGUCCUUCUACACAGUAGUGGUCAAUAAAUCUUGUGGUUACUGCAAUUUGCAUUGGUCCUCUGAAGGCAUUUCUGUUUGCCUUCCUAAACCGGACUUCCUUCAGAAAAGUGAAGCAUUGCUGAUGACACAGGUCAGCAGGAGUAGCUCCUAUUUACACAUACAUAAACUGAGACUUUGACUUAAAACAAUGCAGCAAAUUUAAACCCCAGAGCACAUUCCCAAUUCCAGGACACUCCAUUCAACCUACCUUGUGCAUAGUUAAGUCUGAUUUUAAAGUGACUGUCUAAUCUGAUUCUUGUGUGAAAACAGAAACAUGCACAGUGUUUUUCACGAAGACUAUUUUCAAUGAAAUAUUUCAGCUUUAUCAGUGAGAAAGUAGUAGUCAUGCUCCUGAAAAACUGAAAUCAAAACCAAAUCUAACAAGGAUUAUGAAAUAAUCAGAAACUCUUUUUUCAUUUACAGAGUAUUAAAGAGGGUAAGACUCAUUUCCUCCUCAUUCCAGAUAUUGAGGGGCAUAGCACAUUCAUUGAAUUCACACAUGUUUUCUGAGGUUUGAACCAGCUCUGUGUUAGGCACUGGGAGUAAUGAACAGGGAUUUCAUACUUCUGGUGAUGAAAACUUCCCCUCAGUGGUCUCCUCCUCUGCUCUAGAGGUUCUGAUAGGAGCCCACAAAUCAGAUAGAUUCAAGUAAGAGGCUGUGGGUAAGUAUUUGAAAAAAGAAGUUAUAGACCUGUGGUUUAGUGGUGAUGGGGUUGUUAAGCAGUCCCAGGUGAGAAGGGAAGCCUGGGGGGAGAGGGGACACUAGCUGUAUAGCCUCAUAAAAACGUCCUUUUCUCUCAUCUUUCUUCCAAGGGGAGAGUUGUAAUGGAAAAGAGAUAAACGAUACAAAUAUUCAGUUCAUUUCUCCCAUUUGCUGUUAACUAGAAUUUAUUCCAGAUAAGAGAGGACAUUGAUUGCAACCUCCUAAUGUACAGAAACAUUUUAUCUUCAAAUGUUUUAGAUGACUAAAUUGCACUUUUAUUUUCCAGUAAAGCCAAAACAUUUUUUCCCAUGUCUUUAUUCACUAGUGACGACAUAUUUUUUAAACAGUUUUUAAGGAAGGAAAGUAAUACAUUAUUAGGUAAAACAUAUAUUCCUGGUGCUUGCACCCCACAGAACACAUGUUUUUAUUUGACUAGUUUAUUUUUAAGUAUUCUGGGAAAAGUUAAGCCAACUAUUUGUACAGAAUUUUCCUUGCUUUUUCUUGCAUUCUGCCAGAAUUUUCUUUUUAAUUUUGCCUUAUUUUUAAUUUUACCUUCUUGCCUCUGGGCUUUAUAUUGACUUUCAGUUUUCAUUGUUUAUACACAUUAGGUAUUUGUAGACAAUUCUCAUGUUCCCCUUCGUUAGCCAAGUGCAUGGACAUUAUUUAUUCUUUUCAUAUUUCCUCUAGAGUAAAUAUCUCUGGUUCCUUAAUUAUUCCUGUUGAUUUCUUCUAAACUUCCUGCAGUAUAUCUCUCUUUUUCACAUAAUGAGAUCCCCAAACUAAAUGCAUUUCCUGCUUCUGUCUCUCCUGAAUUAAAAAGAGGGGACUCUUUUCCUCUGUUUCAUAACAUUUUGUUUUUGCAUAUGCCAUUCAAAAUAACAAUGACUUUCCCCAUUUAUCAAGUUUCAUCAUUACCUUCUGGUAAUAUUUAAAAUAUUUCAGAAAUAUGAACUCACUCCCCAUCUUAUGACUGUAGGUGUUUAGUAGAAUUGGGAAAUUGUGAUCUCUAGUUCUUUGAGGUUGGGGAUUUCAAAUUACUGUCUUAUUCUGCUUCAUGAUGAUCUAGAAUACCAUAAUCAAUUAUAGCAGUAAGCCCACUUCUGCAGCUUUUCCAGGCUUUCAUUGCUUCAUAAUUGAUGAAGUGUCAGGAAAGGAAGAGGAUUGGUAAAAUGAAUUCUUUCAAAAGAGGGAUAAGGAUUUCAUAGAUGUGAAAGGAAAGUGUCUUUUGAUUUAUCCUCUGAAGAGAUUUGAUGUUAUUUCCAUGAUUUCUCUCCUUUCGUCUUUUUCAAUUCUGCCUUAAUUUCCCUGAAAUAUUAUUUUAGAAUGUUACUCAUAAAUGCUUCUGUAUCUUCCCGUUGCUUAUGUGACAAAAUCCAACUCUUCAGCUUAGCAUUUAAGGAUCUCCCUGAAGAGUUCAGCCUUUUGCCCCCUUUUCCCCUUUUAGGAAUCCUGAUUUUGUGUUUGUGAGAGAGUAUGUGUACCUGCAUUUGUCUGUGUUGGGUACAACUCACUACUUCCACAUUUUUGCACAUAAAAUUCUGCUAACUGUAUAACUUUCUUUUUAGAAAGCUGGAUCAUCCUUGUAAAGACCUUCUAGAAUUCCAUUAUUCCUUCUUUUAGUAAUAUUUAUUUGACUAUAUCACUUAUGUCUUGUAUUAUGGGACAUCUCUUCACAUAUCUACAGUGUAUCUCCCUUCCAAACUUGCAAGCUCUUUGAGCAAGAAGACAAUGUCUACAUUUGCUUUGUUGUCUUGCACAAGAUAAAGU
rnacentral:lncRNA from 1 species